rnacentral:rRNA from 1 species
AACCUGCCCUUGACUCUGGGAUAAGCACUGGAAACGGUGUCUAAUACCGGAUACGAACUUCAGCCGCAUGGCUAGGAGUUGGAAAGAAUUUCGGUCAAGGAUGGACUCGCGGCCUAUCAGCUAGUUGGUGAGGUAAUGGCCCACCAAGGCGACGACGGGUGGCCGGCCUGAGAGGGUGACCGGCCACACUGGGACUGAGACACGGCCCAGACUCCUACGGGAGGCAGCAGUGGGGAAUAUUGCACAAUGGGCGCAAGCCUGAUGCAGCAACGCCGCGUGAGG